AUUGAACGCUGGCGGCAGGCCUAACACAUGCAAGUCGAGCGGAUGAAGGGAGCUUGCUCCUGGAUUCAGCGGCGGACGGGUGUGUAAUGCCUAGGAAUCUGCCUGGUAGUGGGGGAUAACGUCCGGAAACGGGCGCUAAUACCGCAUACGUCCUGAGGGAGAAAGUGGGGGAUCUUCGGACCUCACGCUAUCAGAUGAGCCUAGGUCGGAUUAGCUAGUUGGUGGGGUAAUGGCCUACCAAGGCGACGAUCCGUAACUGGUGUGAGAGGAUGAUCAGUCACACUAGAACUGAGACACGGUCCAGACUCCUACGGGAGGCAGCAAUGGAGAAUAUUGAACGAUGCGCUAAAGCCUGAUCCAGCCAUGCCGCGUGUGUGAAGAAGGUCUUCGGAUUGUAAAGCACUUUAAGUUGGGAGGAAGGGCAGUAAGUUAAUACCUUGCUGUUUUGACGUUACCAACAGAAUAAGCACGGGCUAACUUCGUG
rnacentral:rRNA from 1 species